rnacentral:ribozyme from 1 species
GCCAUGCAAGAUACCAGCCUUCACGUGGCGCAUGGUGAGCAACUGCUUAACCGCAGGCUGAUGGUAUCA